CCCGCCUGACGCCGGCUUCCCAGGUUGCGGCUGCCGCGACGCGGACCUUCUGAAAGGUCGCUCCUCGCGCGCUGUUUACCCUUGGUCGCUUAACCACGCGUACGCCUAGCCCGGGCCCAGAACGCGGUCAGGGGCCACGGUCAAUGUGGGAGCGAAUGCUGCGCAGCUCAGCGUGCGCGGCAGACAUGAAUUCGACAUGCGCAUGCCUGCGACCUUGACGGUGCGGUACCGGUGUACGCCGUUGUACUUAGCGCACUGGCAGGCAGUGCCUUGUGCGGCGUCCUGGGCGGAGGAUACGGAGGAUACGGAGCCGGCCUGGGAGGCCUUGGUGGUGGUCUAGCCCUCGCUGGCGCAGGCCUGGGAGGCGGUGCCGGAGUAGGAGUCGGCAGCAGCGUGGUUCUCCUGGGUGGCGGCGGCCAAGGUUUCACCAAGACUGUAGCCGGACCCUCGUUCCUCGUUAACACGGUGCACCACGUGUCUAAGGUCGACGGUGGAGGCGCCAUUGUGGCCCACUCCGGUCUUGGAGGCGUCGGCGGAGGACUCGGCUACGGCGGAGUCGUCGCCGGAGGCCAUGGAGGAGGCGUCUUGCUCGGUGGCGCUGACCUCGGAGGCGCAGGUGUAGGUCUUGGCGGAGGUUACGGCCUCGGCGGCGGCAAGCUGCUUGUCUUGAAAGGAGGAUACCACAAAUGAGUGCCUUCCCAUUUAGCAAGAGAAAAGGCAUGCGGUGAAAGCUACGCAGCGCCGUUUUGUGUGUGAGAGCUUCUGAGGCUUGAGCCUGUCGUCAGAAUCGAAGAGAAUGAAGAAAUACAAAA